rnacentral:lncRNA from 1 species
AUAUAGCCAGAAAAGAAACAUGUAACAGUUCACAAGGAGACAUUUUUGUUCCUCCCUUAAAGCUAGUUGGGUGCUCUUAGCUGGCUUCCACGGUGUCCCUGUUCACCCCACAGUGGCAUCUGCAGCUCUGUCCCUCCCAUUCACUGGUCCGUCUCCAGCACUGGAUGGCGAGCUCUGCUCUCUGUCGCCCUGGCAUCUGGCCCAGGCUCUGAUGUGGGACUGAUCUCCUCCCAGUCCCAGGCCCAACUUGGCUCCAGGUUUUUGCUGCUAUUGAAACUGAGCAGGACACUACAGUCCUUGCCUCCACCCCCCACCGGCCCCUGACCUAUGUUUGCCUUUUGUCUAUGGAAAAUUUUAGUCAAAGAAUAAAUUUAAUCAGAGAAAUGAGAAACAUGGAAACAAAGAAAAAGAGUCAAAAAAAAAAAAAAGAAAAAGAGUCAAAGGAGACUAAAUGAUAAUAAUGUAGUUAUUAACAAUAGUCAAGGACCUUUAGUUCUUCAAAGGUUCCAGACGUGUGCAUUCUUAAUAAACACAGUGUAUGAUGCAGAGAAGCACACGUGGGGUGGAUUUUGUAAGAGACCUCCCUGACACUGGGUGGGAGAGAACAGAGCAGAGGAAGGGAGAGCUCUGGCCAGGAGGUCUCUGAU